AGCUGAAUUUAUAAAAUUGUCUGUGAACAUAUAUGCGUCUUUACUUGUACAUAUCUUUAUUAAGUUUAAUACAUACACAACUUUCAUAAAUAGAGUCCAAACAUUAUCACUAGUUUUUUUUACAUACCAACAUGCUCGAAUACUUUGACGUGUGAUGCGAUUCAUUUAUAAAAAUUACACACGACAACUUUAAGGCGACAUCUAAAAAGUAAUUACAUUUAAUUUUGUCGCCUUAAAUCAUUGUAGAAUUUCAUUAUAAACUUCUCCGCAGCUUCAUCCACGCGAUUGUCCUCCUCAUUGACAUCUUGCAAUGGAAAUGGAGAGUCUGUAAUCCUCAGUUUCCUAACCAUAGGGCUCUUUCCGAACCCUGGCAUUGCAGGUGAUGCCGCCGUACUGUUAAGCAUCUCCAAGGUCCUCACCACCGUAGUCAAGGUAACAAUAUCAUCCUCCUCCGUAGCCGGUGGCAGCGGUGGGGAGAAGAGAUAGUCAUGGUGAUUGUGUUUGUUGGGAAUCUACUUAUACAUGCACAGCGGAAUUUAAAAUAAUUUUCGAUUCCCACCAAGAAUCGCCUUUGUGUUUAGAUAGAAAUUGUGAUAAGAUUGUACCUUUUCCAGAUUUGCAAUCCUUUUGCUUUUCUUUUCGUUCCACAACUUUGAUUCGCCACCACAACUGUCCAAUUGUUCAGUCUCCAACGGUGGUCCACACAGAGAAUAUGAUUGCAGCCUCUAGGGUUUUUUCUUGUGCUAGCAAGAAUAAUGAAAACCCUCAUGGACCUCAAACCCUAGUUAUGUAUUUAUAUAAACCCAAACAGGCUCGACCCGGUCCGGUCCAAUAAUUAAUUAAUCCAAUUAAUUAAACCCAGUCCGUGAAUCAAUUAAUCCAAUUAAUUAAUUCAAAAAUAUAAAUAACAAAUCCAAUUAAUUAAUUUAUCCAACGAUUGUUAAAUUAAUUAAUUGGCAAUUUGCAAUCUUCUAAUUCUCUUUUGUGUGUGACCCAUUAGGUUCCCGACCACGAUGCCUAACGACGUGAAAUAUUAUUUUGAUCUAAUCAAAAUUGAUAAAUUAAAACACCCUCUUAAUUUAUCGUCAAUUCACAUUCGCCGUCCCUGAUUGACAUCUAGCAAUAUGUCAGGGCAAUACAUGUGACGGGAAAUGUCACGUGGUAUGACAAAACCAAAUUCGUU
rnacentral:lncRNA from 1 species